CUCAGAUUGAACGCUGGCGGCAGGCCUAACACAUGCAAGUCGAACGGUAACAGGAAGAAGCUUGCUUCUUUGCUGACGAGUGGCGGACGGGUGAGUAAUGUCUGGGAAACUGCCUGAUGGAGGGGGAUAACUACUGGAAACGGUAGCUAAUACCGCAUAACGUCGCAAGACCAAAGAGGGGGACCUUCGGGCCUCUUGCCAUCGGAUGUGCCCAGAUGGGAUUAGCUUGUGGUGGGGUAACGGCUCACCAGGCGACGAUCCCUAGCUGGUCUGAGAGGAUGACCAGCCACACUGGAACUGAGACACGGUCCAGACUCCUACGGGAGGCAGCAGUGGGGAAUAUUGCACAAUGGGCGCAAGCCUGAUGCAGCCAUGCCGCGUGUAUGAAGAAGGCCUUCGGGUUGUAAAGUACUUUCAGCGGGGAGGAAGGGAGUAAAGUUAAUACCUUUGCUCAUUGACGUUACCCGCAGAAGAAGCACCGGCUAACUCCGUGCCAGCAGCCGCGGUAAUACGGAGGGUGCAAGCGUUAAUCGGAAUUACUGGGCGUAAAGCGCACGCAGGCGGUUUGUUAAGUCAGAUGUGAAAUCCCCGGGCUCAACCUGGGAACUGCAUCUGAUACUGGCAAGCUUGAGUCUCGUAGAGGGGGGUAGAAUUCCAGGUGUAGCGGUGAAAUGCGUAGAGAUCUGGAGGAAUACCGGUGGCGAAGGCGGCCCCC
rnacentral:rRNA from 1 species